rnacentral:lncRNA from 1 species
AAGGUGAAGCAGGGGAAAGGCAUGCCCAGUGUGAGCCAACAGGACCAUCCCAGAGACAUGGACAGCCCAGAGGCCAGGGAAAGUUGGAGUGGACUUUGUCCUUUCUCUAGGCCACCUUCCCUGCCUCCAUUUGUGGUCCCUUUGGAUACUCCAAUACUUUGUUUUCCCCACCCUCUGAUUUCCCUGGAGCCCACACCUUCCCUGGGGCGUCGCAGUCAGACACCAUCCCUUUAGGACCAACAGUUGCCAAGCAACAGACAGGGGUCUUCUUUCUGCUCUCUGCCCCAGCUUGUCCUAAGCAGUCCUCCCACAAAGUCACACUCACUUCCUACAGGCAGCAUUUUUAAUGAAACUUUUGCCAGUGCCUUGGAAGAGCUCACUUGGCUGCAUUGGCAGCUGAAGGAGCAGAAGCAGCAGUGCCAGUGCCCGGCUUGCCCGAUCGAUAGCCCUGACUGACAGUCUGAGACGGGGACCCUGGCCCCCGGAGGGAGGAUGACUGUGUGUCUGGGGAGAGCCACCAAGCCGGAGAAGAGGCCAUGUCAGAGUGCAGAUCAAUCCACGGAUGACACUUUGGCAUCCUGUGACUGCUCCGUUUGGCAAUAUUUCCCCCUGUGGUUUCAGUAUCCUUGGAUAUUUGCUGUCUGCAUCAACUGUUUCACUUCAACUCUAAUGAAAUGGGGAUUUCCAAGUUCCUUGAUCACUUCUUCAGUUUUUGGCUGGGGUUUUUCCAUAAAGAAGACUUUCCCAUCCACAGCAUUCAUUGGUGAUGCUGAGAUGCAGUUCCUCAAGGAAAGACAGACUCUUUCUCCAUUUUCUUUAAUCACCACCUUUCAUGGGAAGGAAAGGAGGUAAAAAAGAUGUAUUAUGUACUUGGACCAUUUCCCCAUGAGUCACAUGAUCAUUAUGUACUACAAACAUGUACUAAUAAUGAAGAAAAUUUGAACAAAAAUCACGUUUCAGAAUAAAGAGUUGGUGCCAUCAUUUUCUUCAGUGGUCAUGGUUGUUUGUUUCCCCUUUUCUAAGAGCAUCACCAUGAGG